CCUAAAUAAUUUUUUAUUCAUUACUUUUUCUCAAUGUGCAAUUACAACUUAUUUAUGCAAUUACAACUAAUUAAUCCUAAAUCCUAAAAAGUAGCAAUUACACAUAAUAAUGAAUGUCAUAAGCUAUAACAAAUAAAGUAUACAAUAAGUAUCAAAACUAGAGAAAAUAUCUAUGUGGACUUAGAAGUCAAGAUCUGUCAUGUCUUUUCGGAUUCAUCUUCACCACCAUAGCUUUAUUUUGUUCGAGCUAUAGCCUCCUUCACAAAUACAAAAAAAAAAUCUACAAAGAGAAUACUCAAUUAGGUUAGGUUUAAUAAUAACUAAUAAUUUCAAAGAUGAAAAUUUUAGGUUACGUGUCCAUGAAUGUAAAUGAAUGUAAACCAAACGGGCCAUGUCGACUGCAAUUUGAACUCUAACACAAUCUAGGAAACAAAUUUAUAUUGCUUUAAUAUUCUAACAAUCAAAGUAACACAUUAGGAUCAAGUGCAUAUAAGCAGCAUGCACUCAAGCCGGUUAAAACAUACCUAGUUAAUGUUCACAGUAACUUGAAAUCUUACUGGUGUUCUUAGGAUCAUGAGGAUGAUUUCUUAGUGAACCCUUUUUGGCGAACUCAUAAAUUUAGAGCAUUAUUGGCAUUGAAUCCAUUCAUGAUCUGCAUAGAGAAAAAGUAAUUACAUAAGCAUAAAAAUUAAUUAAAUCGUGUGAUAUGAUUGUCAUUGCUCUCAUGCAGUUGAUCAUAUCAUAAAAACAACUUUUAAAUCUGAUCAGUGAUCAGACCAGCAGUGGUGUGACUCGGCAAAAAUACUAGUUUAGAUUAAAUUUUAGUAGAUAUAAUACUUAAAAAUCUCUUUACAAGCAAACUUUGCUCUCCCAAUAGUUCUUCAACUAGUAUUGUACAAACAAUCUGCUUUAACAAAAUGUAUUAAAUAAACUUAUUAAUUAUGAAGACUUACAAUGAAUGGGUUGCCGGAUUGCUUUCCCGUUUGUGGGUCCUAACUUAAAAGUCCUGCAGCCUUGCUUCCACUCACGAGGUGUUUACUGCCCGGUGACCACGCAAUACAAAGAACCAAUUUGUAUGCCCUGGAUCAGUAAGAAGAACAUACUGUUAAAAAGCAUUCAAAUGGUAACACUUUUAUUCACCAGCAUUCACUAGAAAACAAAUUGAAUCUAUCUUUGGCAUUUUCAUUCAAAAGUCACUAUGGUAUCACCUUGGUGUAAAAAAAGGAGGAGUCUAGGCAACAUAGCUAAUCAGGUAUAUGCAAUAGGAAACCCUUAAAAUCUAACCUGUACAAGUGUAGGUCCACUAGCCAGAUGUUUCCCAUCAGGGCUAAACGAAACACUAAGUACCUCCUUUGUAAGACCUGUAGGGACAAGGAUAUAAUGAAUAGGAUUUACCAAAAAAUCAUUUCAUGUAUAUAGUUUUUGACUAUGCUCAAUGCAAAUGAUUCAGAAAAUGAUGCCAGCAACAUACUUAAGUUCCAAUAUCUAUAGUAUUGAAACUUAAACUGUGUCCUGGUAAUUGAAUGGAUGGCAUAAUUAGGUGGAAUCGAUCACACAAGACCAUUUCGCAUUGCUGAAAAAUCUUAAGCCAAUAUUAUAUGUGACAGGUCAGCAGGUUGGGCUGUAAGACAAAUAUUGUAUUUGAGUGGCUCAGACUACACUGUCAUGUAUUAUGCACUACAAUUAAAAUUUCUGCUAUAAACUACCUUCACGUUAAAAUUAAGUUCUUUAUCAAAGUCUCGAUACUGCAAAGGACCCUAAAGCUAGAGUACUGUGAAAUUUAAAUAUAAUGUGAACAUUGUCCGAUAUACUAGCAUCUGCUUGUGAUUUUUUUUAUUUUUUUGAAAAGAUAAACAAAAUAUACCGCCACCAAAAUUAAUAAAUUAAAAAGAUAAACAAAAUAAGAACAGGUAUUGGAAAGUAAAUUCAUACAUUCUUCAGUUGUUACAGACUUACAAUUACUUCAAUUGUAGUUUACAAACUAAUGAAUUAUAUAAAUAUAGAACCGUGACACGGUGGGGACUAACAUUAGAAAUAGGUAGACUAGUUUGCAUAAAUAAUCGUAAAAAUUGUGGUUUUUUACUAUAUAUAUUCAAGCUAUCAUAGUAGUACUCUUUCCAUAAUGGUUAUAUCAAUUGCUUGUUGCCCUUAAUGAAGAAAGCGUGCCUAGAAUUGUAUAUCAUUUUAUAUAAAAGCCUUCCUCAAAUUUUUAUACAAAUGGAAAAUAAGCCUUUAUUUUAAAAUAAGCUAUUACUUUGUAUUUGAAAAAAAAUAAAGCACUAUUAUGUUUAAAUAUAGAAAUGGUCAUGGAGGAGAAUCAAAUGUUAUCUCAGCUCUGAACUCCAUUGAUUAUAUGCAACAUAUUAUCUGAGUUUGUGAAUGCCACAGUCACAUGCCAACUUUCAGGAAGUUGAUAUGUUGAAACUUAAUAUAAAGCUAAUAUACAUACAAUUUCACUAUCAUCAUGACAUAUCUAUAGGAUAUUAAAACCAACAGUAACCAUAUUCUAAUGUACAUGACCAAGGCACAUCAAAAUCACAUUAAAAAUAAUUUAUCCAAAUUAGAGUCCACUCACUAGUUUGUUUUUUUGCCGGUUAUGUUCCUUCUUCUUCCUCUAACCUUUGUAACUUUUUCUUCUUCUUAAAUGUGUGCAACUGCUCGCACAAUUGCCGAUCCCAACUACUCUGUUCCUUCUUCUUCCUCUACCUUUUGUAUAUUUUUCUUCUUCUUAAAUGUGUGCAACUCCUCGAACAAUUGCCGACCCCAACUACUACGAUAGCUUGAAUUGUCGACCCCAAAACUGUUUGUCCUCCUUCCAAAAUUGAUUCUUGUACGUAAAAACACAACAUUUUUUAAAUUAAUUAUAAAAUUUUGAAUAUUAUCAAACCAAUAUUAAUAAGUUUCAACAUCUUCUUCUACUACUACAUGAACAGUUAGACCAACUAACCUUAGUUUUGAGUUUGCAUUGUGAAUGAAGGCUAAUUCCCUCUGCAAUUUCUGUAACUUUUCUACCAAAAAUCUUCUUAUGUUUGCUUUUGUUUCCGCAUACAAACAUCUAAAGCUACUAAAAGUAUACAAAAUUGAUGGAAUUUAGAAUAAAUUUUCAUUGAAUAAGAACAAAACCUAGUUCAAUUGAUUGAUGUUAAGAGAGAGAGAGAGAGAGAGAGAGAGAGAGAGAGAGAGAGAGAGAGAGAGAGA
rnacentral:lncRNA from 1 species